GAUGAACGCUAGCGGCAGGCUUAAUACAUGCAAGUCAAGGGGGUAGCAAUACAACCGGCGCACGGGUGAGUAACGCGUACACAACAUACCAUAUACUGGAGUAUAGCUUUGGGAAACUGAAGGUAAUCCUCCAUAACAUUGCGAGAGGGCAUCUGAUUGCAAUUAAAGUUCCGGCGGUAUAUGAUUGGUGUGCGUUUGAUUAGCUAGUUGGUAGGGUAACGGCCUACCAAGGCGACGAUCAAUAGCUGGCGUGAGAGCGCGACCAGCCACACUGGAACUGAGACACGGUCCAGACUCCUACGGGAGGCAGCAGUAGGGAAUAUUGGACAAUGGGCGAAAGCCUGAUCCAGCCAUGCCGCGUGAUAGAUGAAGGCCCUCUGGGUUGUAAAUAUCUUUUAUCUGGGAAGAAACUCCUCUAUUCUUAGAGGCCUGACGGUACCAGAGGAAUAAGCACCGGCUAACUCCGUGCCAGCAGCCGCGGU
rnacentral:rRNA from 1 species